rnacentral:rRNA from 2 species
AUAACGGUCCUAAGGUAGCGAAAUUCCUUGUCAGGUAAGUUCUGACCCGCACGAAAGGCGUAACGAUUUGGGCGCUGUCUCAGCUGUAGACUCGGUGAAGUCUUAGUACCUGUGAAGAUGCAGGUUACCCGCGACUAGACGGAAAGACCCCAUGGAGCUUCACUGCAGGUUGAUAUUGGGAUUUGAUGCAGCAUGUACAGGAUAGGUAGGAGGCAAAGAGAUGGAUACGCCAGUAUUCAAGGAGCCGCUGUUGGGAUACUACCCCUGUUGUAUUGGAUUUCUAACCGGACGACGUAGAGCCGUUGACGGGACAGUGUCAGUCGGGCAGUUUGACUGGGGCGGUCGCCUCCCAAAGAGUAACGGAGGCGCCCAAAGAUACCCUCAGCUUGGAUGGAAACCAAGCGCAGAGUGCAAAGGCAAAAGGGUGUUUGACUGCGAGACCUACAAGUCGAGCAGGGACGAAAGUCGGGCUUAGUGAUCCGGCGGUGCUGAAUGGAAAGGCCGUCGCUCAACGGAUAAAAGCUACCCUGGGGAUAACAGGCUGAUCUCCCCCAAGAGUUCACAUCGACGGGGAGGUUUGGCACCUCGAUGUCGGCUCAUCGCAUCCUGGAGCUGAAGUCGGUUCCAAGGGUUGGGCUGUUCGCCCAUUAAAGCGGUACGCGAGCUGGGUUCAGAACGUCGUGAGACAGUUCGGUCCCUAUCUGUCGUGGGCGCAGGAAAUUUGAGAAGAGCUGUCCUCAGUACGAGAGGACCGGGAUGGACGCAUCAAUGGUGGACCAGUUGUCACGCCAGUGGCAUAGCUGGGUAGCUAAAUGCGGAAGGGAUAAACGCUGAAGGCAUCUAAGUGUGAAACCCACUUCAAGAUGAGAUUUCCCAUUGCGCAAGCAAGUAAGACCCCUUAAAGACGAUAAGGUAGAUAGGUCAGGAGUGUAAGCAUGGUGACAUGUUAAGCGGACUGAUACUAAUAGGUCGAGGGCUUGACCGA